rnacentral:misc_RNA from 1 species
GGCAUGUCAUCUCAAAGCAAAGAUGGAAUUAACAACUAUUGUACACUUAAAGGAUAGCAGCACCCUAUACACCGAUUUUACGAUUUGCAAAAGUGGGUCUAGGAUAGCACAACACAUAUUAUUGCAUUAUCUCUUGAAUUAUGUUACGUGUUUCAUAAUAAAUCAACCUUAUAAAUAAAUGGUCAUAAAGCUGAACCUAAAUUAUGGAAACAGAAACAAUAAGAAAUUUAAC